rnacentral:lncRNA from 1 species
AUUGGACCCCUGUUUUAGAAUAGUUGUUCCAAAUAUAAUGAAUUUUCCCACCUUUAAGUUAAAAUAUCUAAAUAUUUCUCAUUUUUCUCUUUUACAACAUCAAAAUGACCCCUCGUCUUAGGGACAGUCCCUCAAUUAAGGGUACCCCUCAUUUGGGGGGUUGUUCCCAACCUGAAUUUUUAUCAAUUUCCUUUUUUGACUAUUGUAGUCACAGGCACUUGUUUCUAUCCAUAGGAAGGUAGACUAUCCUUCUAUUUAUAUGGAUAGUCGACCUUCCUAUGGAUAGAAACAAUUAUUAAGUGCCUGUGAUUGUAGUUCCUGAUUAUAUUUUUUUUUUAUUUUUGAUUUGGUGCAAAUGUCAAAAUAAUGAAAUAAUGAGCAAAAUCAUGUUAGUAGAUAGCUUGAGGUGAGAAUUGCAUUUCAUCAAAUUCAAAUUAUCAAAUAUCCUCCUUUUUUUGUUUCUAUGUUUGUUUUCGAUAAUAAAGGUCAAGGGAAACUUUCGGGAGUUCCGCCCAAGUUUAAGCGCCAAAAUUUAAAUAGUAAAUUGCUCACAAUUAAGAAAU